rnacentral:rRNA from 1 species
GACGAACGCUGGCGGUGUGCUUAACACAUGCAAGUCGAACGGUAAGGCCCUUUCGGGGGUCCACGAGUGGCGAACGGGUGCGUAACACGUGAGUAACCUGCCCUCAUCUCUGGGAUAACAGUCGGAAACGGUUGCUAAUACUGGAUAUGAGCUUGCAAGGCAUCUUGUGGGUUGGAAAGAUUUUUUUUGGUUGGGGAUGGACUCGCGGCCUAUCAGCUUGUUGGUGAGGUAGUGGCUCACCAAGGCUUCGACGGGUAGCCGGCCUGAGAGGGCGACCGGCCACAGUGGGACUGAGAUACGGCCCAAACUCCUACGGGAGGCAGCAGGGGGGAAUAUUGCACAAUGGACGGAAGUCUGAGGCAGCAACGCCGCGUGCGGGAUGACGGCCUUCGGGUUGUAAACCGCUGUCAAUUGUGACGAAGCUUUUUUGUGACGGUAGCAGUAGAAGAAGCACCGGCUAACUACGUG